UCCUCCAAGGCUAAAUACUCCUGAUUGACCGAUAGUGAACCAGUACUGUGAAGGAAAGGCGAAAAGAACCCCGGUGAGGGGAGUGAAAUAGAACCUGAAACCUUGUACGUACAAGCAGUGGGAGCCCGAAAGGGUGACUGCGUACCUUUUGUAUAAUGGGUCAGCGACUUAUAUUUUGUAGCGAGGUUAACCGAAUAGGGGAGCCGAAGGGAAACCGAGUCUUAACUGGGCGACUAGUUGCAAGGUAUAG
rnacentral:rRNA from 1 species